UACGGAGGGUGCAAGCGUUAUCCGGAUUCACUGGGUUUAAAGGGUGCGUAGGCGGGCAGGUAAGUCCGUGGUGAAAUCCCCGAGCUUAACUCGGGAACUGCCAUGGAUACUAUUUGUCUUGAAUAUUGUGGAGGUAAGCGGAAUAUGUCAUGUAGCGGUGAAAUGCUUAGAUAUGACAUAGAACACCAAUUGCGAAGGCAGCUUACUACACAGUUAUUGACGCUGAGGCACGAAAGCGUGGGAUCAAACAGG
rnacentral:rRNA from 1 species